rnacentral:misc_RNA from 1 species
GAUGACCUUCAUAAGAAAGAAAUAAAGUGAGAUUAAAGUAGGGGGAAAACAAUAUCCAUAAAGAAAACAGAUGGCCAUUUCAAUGAAGGCACAAACAUUUGAGUGGGAGACUGAAUAUAUUAAAGCAACAUGGGGUCAAGCUCCUACACAUGGUAAUGAAUUAAAAGAUACCUGUAUUUAGAUACUCAGGAGCUAAAUAACCAUUGGUACCCAAGAUGCUUGCAGUAAGAUGGCUUUUAUCAUCUGUUGGUCCAUCCUUUGCCAAUCCAAAAUCGGAGAGCCUGGCAUUAUAUUUCUUGCAUUUAACAAAUUUUUUUAUGAAAAAUAAGUGUUAGAAAGCCUGUGAAUUUUUUUUUAGAAGCCAAAAGUUAGCCAUUGACAUUUCACAUACUGAAUCAAGCAAAAUAUUUGAUGCCUUAAAGUCUCGAUAUAUCACUUGUGCCUCAUCAUGAAGAAAUGCCAGGCCCUUAGCAGCACCAAGGGCAACCUUCAUGCGGAGAUUCCAAGAGAGUGGUUGA